GGAAGCCUCCCGGGGAGUGUGGCAAGACGUCUUCUCGCCGCCAGGGUUGCCCUGAUUCGCAGAUUGUGGCAACAAACGAAGCACGCUUCACACAUCCACGUUAUCUUACACGUGUGUUACAAAGUCCUGCAAGGCAGGUCUCUGGCACUUGGUCCAAACCAGACUCUGCGACUACCUUGUGGGAUGACACUUUUGGUUAGCCACAGUCCCUACAUGGCCUGGAGAACCACCUCCCUGCCUCUCAGCAGUGACCAACUCUACAAUGAGGUACUGGACUUGAUGAUCUCCAAGCUGGACACUGAGGCCCAGAGAGGUCAUAUGACUUGCCCAAUAAAAGACUUCCAGAUCA